rnacentral:rRNA from 1 species
UGUGUAGGCGGUAUAUCAAGUUGGGAGUGAAAUCCCGGGGCUCAACCUCGGAACUGCUCUCAAAACUGAUAUACUAGAGACAGGUAUGGGGUAAUGGAAUUCCUAGUGUAGGGGUGAAAUCCGUAGAUAUUAGGAGGAACACCAGAGGCGAAGGCGAUUACCUGGACCUUGUCUGACGCUGAGACACGAAAGCGUGGGUAGCAAACA